GGCCUCGUAGCUCGGGGGGUUUGAGUGUUGGCUGCACUGAAGCCUUCUUCUUACUGGCGUGGGUUCAAAUCCCACUGAGGCUG
rnacentral:tRNA from 1 species